GACUGGAUAGCCUAGUGGUCAAAGGCAGCACUUCUAGCAAUGAUUAGGUCCCAGGUUCAAAUCCUGGUCUAGUCA
rnacentral:tRNA from 1 species